UGUGAAAGUGGGGUUUUUGUAGAAAGAUGCAAGUAUUUAGAAGAAAGCAAAUGCGUAGGCAUUUGUGUCAAUACAUGUAAGCUUCCAACACAGACUUUCUUCAAGGAUUACAUGGGAGUCCCCUUACUGAUGGAGCCAAACUUCACGGAUUAUAGUUGUCAGUUUAAAUUUGGGGUUCUUCCUCCACAACCCGAAGAUGAUAGCACGCUCAAGGAGCCUUGCCUUGAAGUUUGUCCGAUCGCAUCUCGAAGAAGGCCAGUUGCCCAAAGCACAGAUGUAGUGCA
rnacentral:misc_RNA from 1 species